UACAGUUUGAUCCUGGCUCAGAUUGAACGCUGGCGGCAGGCUUAACACAUGCAAGUCGAGCGGGGAAGGUUGCUUCGGNNNCUGACCUAGCGGCGGACGGGUGAGUAAUACUUAGGAAUCUGCCUAUUAAUGGGGGACAACAUCUCGAAAGGGAUGCUAAUACCGCAUACGCCCUACGGGGGAAAGCAGGGGAUCACUUGUGACCUUGCGUUAAUAGAUGAGCCUAAGUCGGAUUAGCUAGUUGGUGGGGUAAAGGCCUACCAAGGCGACGAUCUGUAGCGGGUCUGAGAGGAUGAUCCGCCACACUGGGACUGAGACACGGCCCAGACUCCUACGGGAGGCAGCAGUGGGGAAUAUUGGACAAUGGGGGGAACCCUGAUCCAGCCAUGCCGCGUGUGUGAAGAAGGCCUUAUGGUUGUAAAGCACUUUAAGCGAGGAGGAGGCUCUUUUGGUUAAUACCCAAGAUGAGUGGACGUUACUCGCAGAAUAAGCACCGGCUAGCUCUGUGCCAGCAGCCGCGGUAAUACAGAGGGUGCGAGCGUUAAUCGGAUUUACUGGGCGUAAAGCGUGCGUAGGCGGCUUUUUAAGUCGGAUGUGAAAUCCCCGAGCUUAACUUGGGAAUUGCAUUCGAUACUGGGAAGCUAGAGUAUGGGAGAGGAUGGUAGAAUUCCAGGUGUAGCGGUGAAAUGCGU
rnacentral:rRNA from 1 species